AAAUAGCCUGUCUGAGUGCAAUUGGAUUUUUUUUUUUUUUUCGCUUGUGAGAGAAGACCUCAGGGUGAGAUCGCAGGGAAGGCGACGCAGCGAGACAUGGGGAGCUGUGGAUGGAGGUCCUUGGCCUAGAGGCAGAGUGCCACGCAGCGGACGCGAUGGUGGAGACGGCCAAGAAAUCAAAUUUAUUCAAUACUGAAUCAUCAUCCAAAAUGCUAGGUCAAGUUCAUCCGAACCUGAUUUCCUGCACUGCCUGGCUUGGAGUUUGAUCCGAGGACUUGACACCAGGAAGAUGUAGGACGGCUUGAGGAAGAUAUGUAAUCCAGACAUCAUUAUCAUUGCUCUGGAUUGUCUUUUUCUUUAUUUGUAUAAUGGUUUGUCGAGCACCAUUGUCGGAGAAAGGAAGAUCAGUGUCAAGAUAAAAAAGCUUGUCUUCUCGCGCUCUUUGUUUGAUGGAUAGGUGAGAGCCACGACAAAGAGGAAAUUGAAGAGGAUUACAUAUCCAACCAACACACCCAGACCAAUCCAAUACCAUUUUGCUUCAGGGAAUAUUCCACGAGACUUCAAGAUAGAUACUCCUAGAGGCUCUGAUGACCCCGGAAGAAUCUAUAGAUCCAUUAUCAAACAUAAAAGAUAAGAAUGCUGGGCAUCUACGAGAAUUCUAAAGUUUCACGAACUGUCAUCUCCCCAAGAUGGACAUCAUGCUGACUAAUAUAGGUAGCAGUUCUUUGGGGCACAAAUUCUUCCAUUUGAUGGCCAUUUUAUGUGAGUUCUCUGCUUAGUGGAUGGAAAAGUGGCCAAUAUACAUACAAAAUGCCUUCCCGCAUUAAAAAGCUGAGAGAGACAGAUCACCAGUCCUCAGUGCCGGAGCUCCUUUAGUUUAAUAAAACAAUGCCACUCCCACCACCUGCCACAUGUCUUGAUGGAGCUAUGGUAGCCACAUGGCAUCCGGUGAGAGUAUGGUCGGGGAAAGGUCCAGUGGUCAGUGGAUUAUUAAUUUAAACACACCAUCAAUCUUCCAAGAAGUGCUCAUCAUUUUAGGGAAAUUAUUACGUGCGGCGUCCGGAUUCGUCCGUGGCGAAUCCGGAUGUGCCACAUCAUCCGGGACCAGUGCAUCCGGGUGGUGUGGCACGUCCGAAUUCACCUCCGACCAGUCCGAACACCGCACGUAAUAAUCUCUCAUCAUCAUUUUGACAUUUCUAGUUGAGACACUGUAUUGGAGGAUGGUCCAACCCACAAAACAUAUAAUGAGAUUAAAGGGUUGAGAUAAUGCUUUUUAGGUGAGUUUUUGGCUUUGUUUGGAAUAGAUUUUUUUAUUAUUUUCUAAAGCAGCUUUUUAGGAAAUAAUUUUUUCUUUAACAAA